ACUUGUGUCUUGUUGUUUUAAACUGAAUUCUUUCAUCAGUUCCUUCUUUGUGUAACGUAAGUGACAUCUGUCCAUCUGGGACUCGUAGGAGCGUGGGAGGCAUCUGACGGGAUGAGCCCCCCAGCUCCUCACCUGCCCCCAGGCUGUGUCUGAAGGUCACCUGACCGUCACCACACAGGAGCGCCAGCUUUCACACGUGGAGCCAGGGUGGCUCUCCAAAGACUGGCGGUCAAUUUCGUGGAAAACUGCUCUUUGGAGGAGCCUUAGGUCCACACAGCUCACCCUUGGUUUGGACCAGCUUCAUCAGAAUAGCUCCUCCUCUCCCGUUGCCCAAUCCUGUGAUAUCCCAUUUUAGUCAUGGUGCAAAACAGCAAGAAAGUUCCAGGACGUUCUUCAAAGGAAGCUGUCAAUGUUGACACUUGAUAAAUUAUAUAUUUCUGCUAAAAACAAAAUAAGGGAGUUUAAAUGUGUGCCCGGCUUCUUGCUCACAAUGCAAUCAUGGAUAUUGCCCAACAGGGACGGAAGUCAGGUGCUCACAGAAUGUGACUCACUCUAAUGUCUUACUUCACUUCAUAUGAAAAUUGCCUAUUCUCCAAAAGAGAUUUUUUUCUAAAUUCAAUAAACACUUCUCUUUACACUUUGCAGGGCCUGUGGCCCAACCCUUUUUA